rnacentral:misc_RNA from 1 species
CGCACAUUGCGCCCGUUAGUAUUCUAGCAGGCAUGCCUGUUCGAGCGUCAUUUCAACCCUCAGGCCCCGCCUGGUGAUGGGGACCGCCUGUGGCGGCCCUGAAUAUUAGCAGCGGGCCUCUGUUGUACCCGAGCGUAGUAAUGCCCUCGCUCUUGGAGAAGACAGGCGGCCCUGCUUAAUGCAUACCCACUGGUUGACCUCGGAUCAGGUAGGAAUACCCGCUGAACUUAA